UGGCACCCUGGGCCGACCUACUACAACUCUGAAUAAGAACCUGCUUGAGAAAGAUUUCCCUUACAAGCUGAAUGUUACAUUUCCACUCGACAGAAAGGUACCGCUGUGUGGCCAUAAAAAGUUGGCUCCAGCCCCAUAACCUUUGCAGUUGUUGUGUUAUUUUUGGUUCAUGCCAACGUGGAUCACAGCUGUGACUCAACAGAAGCACUGAAGCAAGAAUUCAAAGAGUUGAAAGAACAGCUCACUCAGAAACGGCUCUCCCCGCCAUGGUGUCAUUACACAACGGCCUACCUUCUCCAGUUUACCAGCUCUGUACCGAUGAGCUCAGUUGUUGUUUGGCCAGCGGCGUUGUGAGUGGCGUCAGCACCCUCACUGCAGCCCGGCGAUGAGGAACCUUUCCUUUCCGAGGUGUUUGUUUUACUUAUUAUGCCGUGAGCGCACAGGGAAUGUGUGCUUGGAGCCCAGGUGCCAUCCCACAGGUCCUGACAAGGUCCCUGGCUAUGGUCCUAGCAGGUAAGGGGAUUGGCUGCACUCUGAAAUUCGCUUCCAGAUAACCUCUCUGUCGACACAGAAAUAUGCUUUGCUCAGUGGGAAAGAAAAAGAUAAUUGAAGACUUCGUCUGCACAUGUCAACGGUCCCGUGAAGAAAAUUGCAAAAACAAUUUCUCUGGUUGUCUCAGAAUAUCCAUUGCAUGAUAUUAUCUGGACAGCAUACAGGCUGAGAUUCUUAAAAAAAAAUCCAAGGUUGGGCCAAAGCUUGAAACACACACAAGUAACAGAUUUGCUAUUUGGGUUACAGUCUGGAAAAAAAAAUCUCUCUGGAAACAGAUUUAUGUCUUAGUUUUGCAUUUUGCCACCAGAUGUCCUUCACGAGUAGGAAACUAUGAUGGCCUGGAUGGUAUUUUGCAGUGUGAAUGCCCAGCGUUUCUGAACA